rnacentral:rRNA from 1 species
GAUGAACGCUGGCUGCGCUCCUAAUACAUGCAAGUCGAGCGAACAGACGAGGAGCUUUCUCCUCUGACGUUAGCGGCUGACGGGUGAGUAACACGUGGAUAACCUACCUAUAAGACUGGGAUAACUUCGGGAAACCGGAUCUAAUACCGGAUAAUAUAGUGAACCGCAUGGUUCAAUAGUGAAAGACGGUGGUGCUGUCGCUUAUAGAUGGAUCCGCGCCGCAUUAGCUAGUUGGUAAGGUAACGGCUUACCAAGGCAACGAUGCGUAGCCGACCUGAGAGGGUGAGCGGCCACACUGGAACUGCGACCCGGUCCAGAAUCCUACGGGAGGCAGCAGUAGGGAAUCUUCCGCAAUGGGCGAAAGCCUGACGGAGCCACGCCGCGUGAGUGAUGAAGGUCUUAGGAUCGUAACACUCUGUUAUUAGGGAAGAACAAAUGUGUACGUAACUAUGCACGCCUUGACGGUACCUAAUCAGAAAGCCACGGCUAACUACGUG